rnacentral:lncRNA from 1 species
CAAAGAUUAGAGUGACUGGUAUCUUGCUGUUUCUGUAAAGGAAAAUUACCAUGAUCCUAAGAAGCUGAGGUCAUCAAGCGGAGUAGGAGGUAGAUUUCCUAUCCAGGAGCAGUGAGCCAAAUUAAAUGCACAGGUAAUCUACAGCUGCAAAAUGUGAGAAAUGAUUGAACAUAACCAGUAGUAGCAGCCCAAAUUAAGAAAAAUGUUAAAAUGCAUUAAAUUUAUGCUCAAAAUUAGAACAAGUAUAUUUGGAUUCAUUUACAAGAAGAGGAAGACAAAGUUAUGAUAGAAAGAAAGCUCAGCAACUGGGAUUACAGACUGGGCUCUUUUACAAACUCGCCAUUUGAGUUUGUCAAGAGAUUUAUUCUCUCCAGGUCUCAAUUCUUCACAGGGGAAUGAGGAUAUGUGAUUUCACAAGCUAAUCUUCUAGGAUAAAAAUAGAACAGUAAUGCUUGAGAAGAACUUUGUAAUAACUCACUACUGAUGUGCAGAGUUAAAAAAAAAUUACAACGUAUUUAUAGGUUCUACCGAUUCAGGUUUCUGAAUCACUCAUUAAUUCCUUCAUUUAACGAUACUUGUUGAAGACCUACUAAGUGUCAGACACUGUAGCAAGUAGUGUUCUAGCAGUGAACAAAGUGAAGUCCUCAUUUUCCUAGUUUACAUUCUAGUAAGGAACGACAGAAAAUGGAAUACACCAGGCCCACUACCAAAUUUGCAACAGCUGAUUUGUGCGCCUGGCAUACCCUUCCCCCAAGUAUUCUCAUGGCUAACUCUCUCUCCUUUUUCAAGUUUUCGUUCAAAUGGGCACCUGCUUGAUGAGGCCUAAACACAGAAUAUCCCUCCCUCCCCCACUCUGCUCUCUAUAUUUUUUCCUAUAAAUCUUAUCCCCUUCUAACAUAUGAUAUAAAUUGCUUAUUUGUGUGUUUAAUAUGUUUCUCUGAGCUAUAACGUAAAUUCCAAGAUGCCAGGACUCUUUGUCUGUUUUGUUCAAGGAUGUAUUCCAAAGCUUAGGCAGUACCUACUAACGUGUAAUGCUCAAUAAAUUGAUUAACAAACAAACUGAUCAAUGAGUGAAUGAAUGAAUUAGAAGGAUGAUCUGGAAAGUUUUCUCUGAUGAAGUGACUAAAUAGUAAAAGCUUGGCAUUUAAAAAAAAUCACAGCAUACAGAAAAUUGUUAAUUAAAUUGUGUUACAUCUAGUUGAUAGACCAUUAUGUGGCCUUAAAAAUGAUUUUAAGUAAUAGCUAUAAAGUUUAUGAAAUAACACGGAUACUACUUAUAAUGGAUGGGUAAGUGAAAAUGCAUAUGCAUAUAUUACUAUUACAAACAUAUUAAAAGGUCUUUAGAAGAAAUAUUAGAAAGUAAUAUACCAAAAGUUACCCGUUUAUGUUAUAGUGAUUAUUGGUGAUUUCCUUUAUCAUUUUUUCUAUUUUCACAAAUUUUCUAUAAUUUCAUUGUAUCAUCUUUGAUAUAGAAAUAAGUUUAAUUUUUUAAAAAGCUAAUCAAUGCAAUACUACCUACCAUUCACAGCAUUUUGUUUUGUUAUGUUUUUUACAUUUAGAAAUUAGACCUUAACAAUGUCAAUAACCUCCAACAAGCAUAGACUCGCAGUUGAAAAGAACACACCUGGAUUUCAAAUGUUUCACAGAAAAACAGAGGUGAAGAAGGAGGUUGAAUCAACUAUAAUUUCUUCUACAACAGCAUCAUUACUUACUUUGAGUUUACCUUUCAAGUAGAUUGUCUCCAGAAGAAGGAAGUCCUAUCAAUUAAACAUGACUCUCAAGAGAAAAACACAAUGCGUAUAAGUGAUUUUAAACAGAAUAUAGCAUCAAGAAGUAGAAAUUGCCCAAGACCCUGUUUUAUCCUGCACUUUCCCAUUACUUUGGUAAUCAACAGUUGGUUGAGGCUGGGUGCCGUGGUUCACACCUAUAAUCCCAGAACUUUGGGAGGCUAAGGCAAGAGGAUCUCUUGAGCCUGGAAGUCCGAGACCGGGCUGGAUAACAAAACAAGACCCCAUCACUACAAAAAAAAAAAAAAAAAAAAAAGUCAGUUGAGGAUCAACAGCGGAGUCCAAGUAUGCAAUGGCUAUGUUAUUCCAUUUACUCCUCAGAAUAAUUAAUUGAAGUCGGAGUUAUAUUACUAAAUUUCAGAUAACAAAAUGGGGACUGUAGGUAAAUUUCCCAAGGUCACACAACUAGAUACGUAGUGAAACCAUGAUUCAAAUUGAUUCAAAAUGACUCUAAAUUCACUAUAAAAAGUCAUACAUGGGAAGGGGAAAGCAAAAAUAUCUAACAUUUCUCAUAGGCCUCCUUUUCCACAGCACUUCUGGACCCCUUAAAUGUCAUGUUUUCUACAUAAUGAUUUUUGCUUGCAAAAGUCACCAACUGCAUCUUUACUAAUAUGGCUCCAGCUCCCAGAUCUACAGCAGUGUCAGGCUCCCAAGUUAAUGGGUAUAAAAGGAAAAGGAACAAACCCAAAUUAGGAAUGUACCAGAACUGCUGCCCUCAGCUACCAUUCAGGUAUGUGGGGCCUUCCUUGGUUGUGUUAGAGCCUGAAUCAUAGUCCAUCAUUUAUUGUCAAAUCAUCUUAUGCCACCAUUCUACCAAGUAUUAUAGCCUUCUGGAUUUUCCUGUUAAUUUCCAUCAACUGUCCUGGGUCCUGUACUUCUAAUACAAUUCAAACACAU